rnacentral:ribozyme from 1 species
UAUUAUUCAAUGGGCAAUCCGCAGCCAAAUACUAAGUUUAGGUGUAGUCUUAUUUAGUAUGCAGUUCAUCGACUAAACGGGUGUUGGUUUAAUUUAAAAUAUACUGUAGUUAAUAGUAAACCUUAAAUUAGGCUUAAGAUAUAGUCAGUCCUAAUAUGAAAAUAUUGG